AGAAGAAAGAAAGGCUCACUUGACCAACCAGUAUAUGCAGCAGGGCAGCAGGAAUGAGAGCACUCCCUGCCAAUGCCAUCUUAAAUCAGUUUCAGCCUGCAGCCGGGGGCUACUUUGUGCCUGCAGUUGCACAGGCUCAGGAAGACCUCCUUAUUACACGCCGAACCAGCUAGCACAGAUGAGACCUAAUCCACGCUGGCAGCAAGGUGGGAGACCUCAAGGCUUCCAAGGAAUGCCAAGUGCUGUACGCCAGUCUGGGCCACGUCCAGCUCUUCGUCCAACUGGGUCUGAGUGUCCGGACCGCUUGGCUAUGGACUUUGGUGGGGCUGGUGCCGCCCAGCAAGGGCUGACUGACAGCUGCCAGUCUGGAGGUGUACCCACAGCUGUGCAGAACCUAGCACCUCGGGCUGCCGUAGCUGCUGCGGCUCCUCGGGCUGUGGCACCAUACAAAUAUGCCUCCAAUGUUCGCAGCCCUCAUCCUGUGCUACAGCCUCUACAGCCCCCACAGGCUGCAGUCCAUGUGCAGGCUCAGGAGCCCCUAACUGCCUCAAUGCUGGCUGCAGCACCCCCACAAGAACAGAAGCAGAUGCUGGGAGAACGUCUGUUCCCACUCAUCCAAUCAAUGCAUUCAGCCCUAGCUGGAAAGAUUACAGGGAUGUUGCUGGAGAUAGACAACUCUGAGCUGCUGCACAUGCUAGAGUCACACAAGUCUCUCCGCUCCAAGGUGGAUGAAGCUGUGGCAGUUCUACAGGCUCAUCAUGCCAAGAAAGAAGCUGCCCAGAAGGUGGGUGCUGUUGCUGCUGCUACCUCUUAGACAAGGAAAAACGAUUCAAAAGCCAAAUAACUCCCUUCUGGAUUUCAGCUCAUAUGAAGACUUCCUCGCUUGUCCUAUGGACUUCAACAUCAAGAACUACAAAUUGCAAGUUUAAUAGGUCAUUUUGUAUCAAAAGGUCAAUUAUGAAACAUCUAGAUUUUUCAAUUAUAUAACUAUUGUCUGGAUUCUGCUGUAGCCCAGGAAAUUUUUUUUCUAUUGUGGGUUUUGGUUUUUCCACCCCCCAAAAAGUGAUUUUAUUUGAUGUACCCAAAUCUUAAUAAAAAAGAAAAAUCCAUAAAA